UACGUAGGGUGCAAGCGUUGUCCGGAAUUAUUGGGCGUAAAGAGCUCGUAGGCGGCCUGUCGCGUCGGCUGUGAAAACCCGAGGCUCAACCUCGGGCCUGCAGUCGAUACGGGCAGGCUAGAGUUCGGUAGGGGAGACUGGAAUUCCUGGUGUAGCGGUGAAAUGCGCAGAUAUCGGGAAGAACACCCGUGGCGAAGGCGGCACUCUGGGACGGUACUGACGCUGAGACGCAAAAGCGUGGGGAGCGAACAGG
rnacentral:rRNA from 1 species